UAAAAAGUGGUGUAUCGGUGCACGAGGAGUUUUGAUCUCCUUAGGUUAGGUUCGAGCCCUUUCUUUUUAA
rnacentral:tRNA from 1 species